rnacentral:rRNA from 1 species
CCCUUAGAUGUUCUGGGCUGCACGCGCGCUACACUGAUGCGAUCAACAAGUUUUUCCUAUGUCGAUAGACACGGGUAAUCUUUUGAACUCGCAUCGUGAUGGGGAUAGAUUAUUGUAAUUAUUAAUCUUCAACGAGGAAUUCCUAGUAGGUGCAAAUCAUCAGUUUGCAUCGAUUACGUCCCUGCCCUUUGUACACACCGCCCGUCGCUGCUACCGAUUGGUUGAUCUGGUGAAUUAUUCGGACUGCCGUCUGAAGGGGUUUCCUCAUCUGCCAGCGGAAAGUCUUGUUAACCCUAUCAACUAGAGGAAGCAGAAGUCGUAACA